UACGGAGGGGGCCAGCGUUGUUCGGAAUCAUUGGGCGUAAAGGGCGCGUAGGCGGCCGAUCAAGUCGGAGGUGAAAUCCCUCGGCUCAACUGAGGAAUUGCCUCCGAUACUGUUCGGCUUGAGUCCUGGAGAGGGUAGUGGAAUCCGAGUGUAGCGGUGAAAUGCGUAGAGACUCGGAAGAACACCAGUGGCGAAGGCGGCUACCUGGACAGGUACUGACGCUGAAGCGCGAAAGCUAGGGGAGCAAACAGGAUUAGAAACCCUGGA
rnacentral:rRNA from 1 species